rnacentral:rRNA from 1 species
CCUACGGGCGGCUGCAGUAGGGAAUCUUCCACAAUGGGUGCAAACCUGAUGGAGCAAUGCCGCGUGAGUGAAGAAGGACUUCGGUUCGUAAAGCUCUGUUGUUAGUGAAGAACAAGGAAAGUAGUAACUGGCUUUCCCUUGACGGUACCUAACCAGAAAGUCACGGCUAACUACGUGCCAGCAGCCGCGGUAAUACGUAGGUGACAAGCGUUGUCCGGAUUUAUUGGGCGUAAAGCGAACGCAGGCGGUUUUUUAAGUCUGAUGUGAAAGCCCACGGCUCAACCGUGGAGGUGCAUUGGAAACUGAAAGGCUUGAAUACAGAAGAGGAAAGUGGAAUUCCACGUGUAGAGGUGAAAUUCGUAGAUAUGUGGAGGAACACCAGUGGCGAAGGCGACUUUCUGGUCUGUAAUUGACGCUGAGGUUCGAAAGCGUGGGUAGCGAACAGGAUUAGAUACCCGGGUAGUC